AGAACGAACGCUGGCGGCAGGCCUAACACAUGCAAGUCGAACGCCGUAGCAAUACGGAGUGGCAGACGGGUGAGUAACGCGUGGGAACAUACCCUUCGGUUCGGAAUAACUCAGGGAAACUUGAGCUAAUACCGGAUACGUCCGAGGUUUUAAUCGACCUUGGAGAAAGAUUUAUCGCCGGAGGAUUGGCCCGCGUCUGAUUAGCUUGUUGGUGAGGUAAUGGCUCACCAAGGCGACGACGGGUAGCUGGUCUGAGAGGAUGAUCAGCCACAUUGGGACUGAGACACGGCCCAAACUCCUACGGGAGGCAGCAGUGGGGAAUAUUGGCAAUGGGCGCAAGCCUGAUCCAGCCAUGCCGCGUGAGUGAUGAAGGCCCUAGGGUUGUAAAGCUCUUUUGUGCGGGAAGAUAAUGACGGUACCGCAAGAAUAAGCCCCGGCUAACUUCGUGCCAGCAGCCGC
rnacentral:rRNA from 1 species